UACAGAGGUCUCAAGCGUUGUUCGGAUUCAUUGGGCGUAAAGGGUGCGUAGGCGGCCGGGUCAGUCGGGCCUGUAAGUGCGGGGCUCAACCCCGUGAUGGGCUCGGGACGGCACGGCUGGGGCGCGGCAGAGGGAGACGGAAUGCCGGGUGUAGUGGUGAAAUGCGUAGAGAUCCGGCGGAACACCGGUGGUGAAGACGGUCUCCUGGGCCGAGGGCCGACGCUGAGGCGCGAGAGCGUGGGGAGCGAACCGG
rnacentral:rRNA from 1 species